rnacentral:rRNA from 1 species
UGAGUAGAGUGGCGAACGGGUGAGUAACGCGUAGGAAUCUACCUUUCAGCUUGGGAUAACCUUGGGAAACUGGGGCUAAUACCGAAUAGUAUUGUUAAAUUAGGUUGUAACAAUUAAAGCGGGGCAACUCGCACUGAGAGAUGAGCCUGCGUCCUAUCAGCUAGUUGGUUAGGUAAGAGCUGACCAAGGCGAAGACGGGUAGCUGGUCUGAGAGGAUGGCCAGUCACACUGGGACUGAGAUACGGCCCAGACUCCUACGGGAGGCAGCAGUAGGGAAUAUUGCGCAAUGGGGGGAACCCUGACGCAGCGACGCCGCGUGAGUGAAGAAGGUCUUAUAGAUUGUAAAGCUCUGUAAGGAGGGAAGAAAUACUUAUGGUAACGCAUAAGCUUGACGGUACCUCCGAAGUAAGGACCGGCUAAAUACGUGCCAGCAGCCGCGGUAAUACGUAUGGUCCGAGCGUUGUCCGGAAUGACUGGGCGUAAAGGGUGUGUAGGUGGAUAUAUAUGUCAGGUGUGAAAUCCCUCGGCUCAACCGAGGAACUGCGCUUGAAACUACAAGUCUAGAGUAUGUCAGGGGUUAGCGGAAUUCCCGGAGUAGCUGUGAAGUGCGUAGAUAUCAGGAAGAACACCGGUGGCGAAGGCGGCUCACUGGGGCAAGACUGACGCUGAGGCACGAAAGCGUGGGGAGCGAACAGGAUUAGAUACCCUGGUAGUCCACGCCGUAAACGAUGAUUACUCGUUGUUGGCGAUACACAGUCAGUGACUAAGCGAAAGCGAUAAGUAAUCCACCUGGGGAGUACGUUCGCAAGAAUGAAACUCAAAGGAAUUGACGGGGGCCCGCACAAGCGGUGGAGCAUGUGGUUUAAUU